rnacentral:rRNA from 1 species
GCACAUUGCGCCCCCUGGCAUUCCGGGGGGCAUGCCUGUCCGAGCGUCAUUGCUAACCCUCCAGCCCGGCUGGUGUGUUGGGUCGACGUCCCCCCCGGGGGACGGGCCCGAAAGGCAGCGGCGGCGCCGCGUCCGAUCCUCGAGCGUAUGGGGCUUUGUCACGCGCUCUGGUAGGGUCGGCCGGCUGGCCAGCCAGCGACCUCACGGUCACCUAUUUUUUCUCUUAGGUUGACCUCGGAUCAGGUAGGGAUACCCGCUGAACUUAAGCAUAUCAAUAAGCGGAGGAAAAGAAACCAACAGGGAUUGCCCUAGUAACGGCGAGUGAAGCGGCAAGAGCUCAAAUUUGAAAUCUGGCUCCUCCGGGGUCCGAGUUGUAAUUUGCAGAGGAUGCUUCGGGUGCGGUCCCCGUCUAAGUACCCUGGAAUGGGUCGUCAUAGAGGGUGAGAAUCCCGUCUGGGACGGGUGGCCGUGUCCGUGUGAAGCUCCUUCGACGAGUCGAGUUGUUUGGGAAUGCAGCUCUAAAUGGGUGGUAAAUUUCAUCUAAAGCUAA